GCAAUAUUUGAAAAAGAAAACUCGAUCUACCGGUACUACCGUUAUGCUGUUGAUAAGUCCGUCGAUAAUUCAUCAAGAACUAAAGGAACACGGGCCAGAUUCGGACAGCGACUUCAAAGUCAUUUGUGGAAGGCUAAACAUUUGGACGACGGAUACACUGGAUGAUAAGGUAGAUGGUCCAGCCUUAUCUGGGAAUGACACGACAGGUGUUGAACACAGCAAACAUGCCGUGUACAAGAAA